CUCCUACGGGACGCAGCAGUGAGGAAUAUUGGUCAAUGGGCGCGAGCCUGAACCAGCCAAGUCGCGUGAGGGAAGACGGUCCUAUGGAUUGUAAACCUCUUUUGUCGGGGAGCAAAAGACGCCACGUGUGGCGUUCCGAGAGUACCCGAAGAAAAAGCAUCGGCUAACUCCGUGCCAGCAGCCGCGGUAAUACGGAGGAUGCGAGCGUUAUCCGGAUUUAUUGGGUUUAAAGGGUGCGCAGGCGGAAGAUCAAGUCAGCGGUAAAAUGCGGUGCUCAACGCCGUACAGCCGUUGAAACUGGCAGU
rnacentral:rRNA from 1 species